GGUGGUGCAGUCGGCUGCCUCGGGGACGCGGGGUACAGGGGACCCACCGCCACCACUGCUGCUCUCACAGCUGCUCCUGCUGCCGCCUCUUGCGCCUCCCCACUGCAGCCCACAUGAUAGCAGCGGCCCCUCCGGAUGGCCUGCCGCUGCCAUCAGCAAGGCUACCAUAAGCCAUGAAUCAAUGACCAGUAUGGUGUCAUUUCUCACAAGCCAGAAUAGAUGGGUCCAGAAAUCAUCAAAGGAGAAAAAAAGCCCCAGCUCAGAACGUACAUGGAAGAAGCUACAGCCAAUGAACGAGACAACCACGACCACAUAGUUGAACCCAGAAAAGGCUAAUGACUCAACCACAGCCAAGUAGGACCAAAAGUUGGGAAAGAGUGUGGCUGAAAAUUGGGGAAUCAUUUCUAGGUGAAUAUACUUAGCAAUCAAUGCAUCCCAGUUUCCUACCACAUAGAAGAGCUUGCAGUCAAGCUCUUAAUGCAAAGCAAACUUAUUUGAGGGUUCUCUUCUAAAGAAAUGGAGCUGAUUAUCCAGGAAGAACUAGAGUAUAAGUGUUGGUGCUCCAUAGUGAAGUUCUCUUUUUUAAGCUUAUUUCAGUGUCCACUUCUGACUCAUAAUAACAGUAAGUUUUCCAGUCAGUAAGUCUCACCCACAAAAACA
rnacentral:lncRNA from 10 species